rnacentral:rRNA from 1 species
CAGUCGCCACGGGAAUACUAAGGGGGCUAGCGUUGCCCGGAAUGACUGGGCGUAAAGGGCGCGUAGGCGGCUUGCACAGUCAGAUGUGAAAUUCCUGGGCUUAACCUGGGGGCUGCAUUUGGUACGUGUGGGCUAGAGUGUGAAAGAGGGCCGUGGAAUUCCCAGUGUAGAGGUGAAAUUCGUAGAUAUUGGGAAGAACACCGGUGGCGAAGGCGGCGACCUGGUUCAUGACUGACGCUGAGGCGCGAAAGCGUGGGGAGCAAACAGGAUUAGAUACCCCGGUAGUCCCUGUCUCUUAUAA